CGUUUGUUGUUUAGUUUGUAGACUGACUGUCUACAUGAAGAUUAUUAGAGCACCUUCAAUGACAGAUAGACUAAUUAAAACAGCACAAAGAUGGAAUAUUUGCUCUUGAUGGAGGGAGUAGUUGGUUGAUUUCAGUCUGUUUUCAUUUAACAGCUAUUGUUUGGGCUCAGAUGAACAGGCCACAGUAACAAGGGUGGACUAAAAACAUCAAGUUUCCAACUGAAUCAGGAUGUGGAGGAGCAGCUGGAGAUGUGUUCGCCAUGGAAACGGAGCCAAAGACCGUUAAGGAAUGACAGACUGAAUCUCUCCGGUGUGUUUCUCCUCAAACCCGAGCGGAAUAAACUCGGACGACCGUGACGGAUCUUCCGCUGCUUGCAGUAUUACUCGUCAAGCAUCUCUAGAGCUCCAGUAUGUCGGCGAACGGGACCCAGGACCGUCCGGUUACAGUGGCAGAGCCGCACACUAGUGGAGGCGCGCAGGAAAGGACUGUGCGUGCUCCCGGUGUCUGUCCGUCUCUCCUGCGCUUCCUGCGACUCAGGUUCACCCCGGAGUCUCUCGAGAAAAUUUAUCAGACUUAUUUUCUGCGGCAGCGGCAGGAGACGUUACUUGUGUUGAUCGUGUUCGCAGCACUGUUCAACGGCUAUGUGAUCAUCAUGUGCGCGGUUGUUUACUCUCCGGAUAAACUGAACACGCUCGCAGUUGCGGCAGGUGGGCUGGCGUCGGAUAUUCUGCUCUACAUCACAUCCCGGUUUCGUUUGCUCCCGGUGCACGUGUCCGCAUGCCUCGUGCCGUACGCGCUGUGGCUGCUCAUCAUGGUCCACGUGCUGUGCUACUUCAGCUUAAACUUCGCUGGGUUUUACGCCGCCGGUGACACGGUGGGAUGGCAGACGUUUUUCAUCUUCUCCUUCUUUCUCACGCUCCCGCUGCCACUCGCGCCCAUUGUGUUACUGAGCGUGUUCUCUUGCUGCGCGCACACGCUGCUGCUGGGAUUCACAAUAUCGCUGAGAAACCAAGACAAACUGCAGCUAUCAGUGCUGAUCAGACAGCUCGUGGCGAAUCUGAUGCUGUAUUUUGGUGCCAUGCUGGUGGGUGUGAUGUCAUAUUUCAUGGCUGACCGUAAAUACCGCACAGCGUUUCUAGAGGCCAAACAGUCUCUGGAAGUCAGUCUCACGCUGAAGGAACAGAGUCAACAACAGGAAGAGUUAUUGCUGUCCAUCUUACCGAAGCACAUCGCAGAUGAGAUGCUGCAGGGUAUGAAGAAAGGAGCCAACCAGAAAACAGAUGCUCAGCAGUUUAACACCAUGUACAUGUACCGCCAUGAAGACGUCAGUAUCCUUUUCGCAGAUAUCGUAGGUUUUACACAGCUUUCAUCUGCUGUGACUCCUAAAGAACUUGUCAAAGUGCUCAACGAGUUGUUUGCUCGCUUCGACAAACUAGCAGCGCAACACCACCAACUGAGGAUCAAGAUUCUUGGAGACUGUUAUUACUGUAUCUGCGGUUUGCCAGAUUACCGUGAGGAUCAUGCUGCCUGCUCUAUUAUGAUGGGCCUGUCUAUGGUGGAGGCCAUCUCCUAUGUGCGUGAAAAGACCCAGACAGGAGUGGACAUGCGUGUUGGUGUUCACUCGGGCACUGUGCUGGGUGGAGUCCUGGGACAGAAGCGCUGGCAGUUCGACGUCUGGUCCACUGAUGUGACUGUGGCAAACAAGAUGGAGUCAGGGGGCAUCCCAGGGCGUGUGCACAUCUCUCAGAGCACAAAAGACUGUUUGCAUGAUGAGUUUGAGCUGGAGGAGGGCAAUGGAGGAGAACGCUGCGAUUACCUUCUGGAGAAGGGCAUUGACACGUAUCUUGUGGUCAUGGCCAAGGAAACGGCCAAAACGAACGGAGUGGGAAACGGGACAGUGAUCAACACCAGCGGCAGCAGCACUUCAGUGAAGAACACAGCCGAGGAGUCUGAAACACAGCACCUGCAGUUGCCCAGCAUAACAGAAGAAGGGAUGGAAGAAGAGCAUCUGAAUCUGCUGAGUAAAACUCUGCUGGAGCGAGAGGCCGAGGAGAUUCUGGAGGAGAAGAAGACGUCUGCUCUGUCUCUGAGGUUUGAGGAUCCUGAUCUUGAGUCUCGCUACUCGGCAGAGAAGGAGAGACAGACGGGUGUUGCAUUCAGCUGUUGUUGUGCUGUUCUGAUCUUCACUUCAGCCAUGGAAAUCCUCAUAGAUCCUCAAUUGAUUGUGAAUUAUGUGACUCUGGCCAUCGGUGAGCUGUUACUGCUGAUUUUGACUUUGUGUUCACUAGCGGCCGUCUUUCCUCGAGUGUUUUCUCGGAGGCUGGUGUCGUUCUCGCAGUGGAUCGACCGCACACGAUGGGCUCGUAACACAUGGGCCAUGGCCGCUAUAUUUGUUUUGACCAUGGCAGAGGUGGCCGAUAUGCUGAGCUGUGUUCAGCCUCCUCUGCUGCUGCUCAACUCUUCCUCCGGCGUGACGCUUGAGUCUCUGGGUAACGGUGGAUGUGCUGAAAACCCCAAACACUAUGGAUAUAUUUCAGUGCUGUCGCUGGUGGCCACUGUCAUGCUGGUCCAGCUCAGCCAUGUGGUCAAGCUGGCACUCAUGCUGCUGGUCACCAUAGCAACAGGAGCUGUAAACAUCCACAGCUGGAUGUAUAUUUACGACAUUUACGAUUUCAUCCGCUACCUGGACUACAGGUAUUCAGUGGUUCCAACCAGAUAUCUGCUGACUGUAAUGAUUAUCAUCAUGAUGUUGGGUUUCUACUACUUUGCACGUCACGUGGAAAGACAGUCUCGUAAGCUCUUUCUGUGGAAAAUUGAGGUGACUGAUCAGAAGGAGAAAGUGUAUGAAAUGAGGACAUACAACGAGGCGCUGGUCACAAAUAUGCUUCCCGAACACGUGGCCAAACACUUCUUGGGCUCCAAGAAGCGAGAUGAGGAGCUUUACAGUCAGUCGUAUGAUGAGAUCGGCGUGAUGUUUGCCUCUAUUCCCAACUUCUCCGACUUUUACACAGAGGAGAGUAUAAACAACGGAGGGCUUGAAUGCCUGAGAAUCCUUAAUGAGAUCAUCUCUGACUUUGAUAGCCUUCUGGAUCGCACGGAAUUUCGCCACAUUACAAAGAUCAAGACCAUCGGCAGCACAUACAUGGCAGCGUCAGGAGUCACGCCGGAGAGCAACACUAAUGGAUACGCUGACCGCAAGAUAGAGGAUCAGUCCCUCCUGGAUCGCUGGCAACACUUCGCUGAUUUGGCAGAUUUUGCGCUUGCUAUGAAAGUGAUGCUUGGAAAUCUAAACAAGCAGUCGUUCAAUAACUUCAUGCUGCGCAUCGGUCUGAAUAAGGGAAGUGUUUUAGCUGGAGUUAUCGGCGCUCGUAAACCUCAUUUCGAUAUUUGGGGAAACACUGUGAACGUGGCCAGCCGUAUGGAGUCCACUGGGGUUAUGGGAAACAUACAGGUGGUGGAGGACUGCUAUAACAUCCUGAAGGAGUACGGUUUUCGUUUCGUCAGAAGAGGACCCAUCUACGUCAAAGGAAAAGGAGAACUGCUGACUUUCUUCAUGAAGGGCAAAGACCCUGUCGAGAAGACGAACGGCAUGACUCUCCCACAUCAGAUACAAGGCAAAUCUUGAGAUCAGGAAGAAAAAAAGGACAUUGUUGCUUUAUUUUAUAUGACUUUUAUAGGGCUUUUAACUUUUUUGUUGACAUAAAAGUGGAAAGGGGACAGUGGGUUUCUGUGAAGUCUGCAGCUCAUGCACUACCCAAAAGGAAAAUUACACAUUUAAAGGAAUUAAAAUUGCACUAUUUUGAAAAUAGGUUUAUUAACUGCUCAACUAGAGGUUAAACAGGUGAGUUUUAUCAAUUUUAAAUCCAUUUAAAUCCAUCAGCCGAUCUCCGGGUGUAGCAGGAGCACUUUUAGGUUAGCAUAGUUCAUUGAGUCGGAUUAAACCAUUAGCAUCUGCCCAAAAAUAACCAAAGAGUUUAGAUAAUUUUCCUAUUUAAAGCCUGAUCUUUCUGCAGUUACAUCAUGUACUGAAACCAACAGAAAAUUAAGUUAUAAAUGAAAAGUUCAGAUGCAAAACCUCUAAGUGCCGUCUGAAAUUUUGAUCGAAAAUUAAUAUUGUUCUCAGCCUCCUUUGUUUAUAUUGAUAUUUAAAAGACCCUUUAAACUUAAAGACUUCUCGAAAUGUCUUUAGGAAUUUUUGCCCAUUCCUCUUUGCAGUACCUCUCAAGCUCUAUCAGGUUGGAUGGGAAGCGACGGUGUACAGCAAUUUUCAGAUAUCUCCCAAGAUGUUCAAUAGGAUUUAGGUCUGGGCUCUGGCUGGGCCACUCAAGGACAUUUACCAAGUUGUU